CAACUGUGAAACAGAGACAGAAGAAUCCCUAGAAGCUCCUGGAACAGUAUCCUGGCAUAGGCAGCAGGGAAUAAGAGACCAUCUUACAUAAGGUGGAGAGGCCUCCUAAAUAUCAUCGGUCAGCCAGCUUGUCCCUCAGGAAGUCCUUGAAUAUGUCCAUAAGCCUGGAGCCUGCCAUUUCAAGGGUUCUGAGCACAGAAGCAGUGAUUUGAUCUGAAGGCAUCUGAACGUGCUCAACCAGACCCCAACCUCCCCAGGAUGCUCAUGUCAUCUAAGUUCUAUUUGUUUCUGAAGCACUUCAUGAAUUCUGUAUGGACCAAAAUGGGUUUCUGAAAACGA